UGGGGAAUUUUGGACAAUGGGCGAAAGCCUGAUCCAGCAAUGCCGCGUGAGUGAAGAAGGCCUUCGGGUUGUAAAGCUCUUUUGUCAGGGAAGAAACGGUGGGUUCUAAUACAGCCUGCUAAUGACGGUACCUGAAGAAUAAGCACCGGCUAACUACGUGCCAGCAGCCGCGGUAAUACGUAGGGUGCAAGCGUUAAUCGGAAUUACUGGGCGUAAAGCGUGCGCAGGCGGUUUUGUAGGUCUGUCGUGAAAUCCCCGGGCUCAACCUGGGAAUGGCGAUGGAGACUG
rnacentral:rRNA from 1 species